rnacentral:tRNA from 1 species
AGARACUUAGGUUAAAAAUAAACCAAGAGCCUUCAAAGCCCUAAACAGAGGAUGARCACCCCCUAGUUUCUG